rnacentral:rRNA from 1 species
UGCANGUCGAACGGUAACGCGAAGAGCUUGCUCUUUGGCGACGAGUGGCGGACGGGUGAGUAAUACUUAGUGAAUCUGCCCAGUAGUGGGGGACAACUCGGGGAAACUCGAGCUAUAUACCGCAUACGCCCUACGGGGGAAAGCGGGGGAUCUUCGGACCUCGCGCUAUUGGAUGAGCCUAAGUCGGAUUAGCUUGUUGGUGAGGNAAAGGCUCACCAAGGCGACGAUCCGUAGCUGGUCUGAGAGGACGAUCAGCCACACUGGGACUGAGACACGACCCAGACUAAUACGGGAGGCAGCAGUGGGGAAUAUUGGACAAUGGGGGCAACCCUGAUCCAGCAAUGCCGCGUGUGUGAAGAAGGCCUGCGGGUUGUAAAGCACUUUCAGUAGAGAAGAAAAGCCUAGGGUUAAUACCCCUGAGUCUUGACGUUACCUACAGAAGAAGCACCGGCUAACUCCGUGCCAGCAGCCGCGGUAAUACGGAGGGUGCAAGCGUUAAUCGGAAUUACUGGGCGUAAAGCGCGCGUAGGCGGCUUUGUAAGUCGGAUGUGAA